UGGGGAAUAUUGGACAAUGGGCGAAAGCCUGAUCCAGCCAUGCCGCAUGAGUGAAGAAGGCCUUUGGGUUGUAAAGCUCUUUUAGUGAGGAAGAUAAUGACGGUACUCACAGAAGAAGUCCUGGCUAACUCCGUGCCAGCAGCCGCGGUAAUACGGAGAGGGCUAGAGUUCUUCGGAAUUAUUGGGCGUAAAGGGCGCGUAGGCUGGUUAAUAAGUUAAAAGUGAAAUCCCGAGGCUUAACCUUGGAAUUGCUUUUAAAACUAUUAAUCUAGAGAUUGAAAGAGGAUAGAGGAAUUCCUGAUGUAGAGGUAAAAUUCGUAAAUAUUAGGAGGAACACCAGUGGCGAAGGCGUCUAUCUGGUUCAAAUCUGACGCUGAAGCGCGAAGGCGUGGGGAGCAAACA
rnacentral:rRNA from 1 species